AGCAGCUUGGAACAGUAGGAAGCGCAUGGGGCGCAUAAUCCCAAAGUCCCAGGAUCGAAACCCUGGGGUUGCUA